UAAAUAUUUAAAAGUAAAACUUUUUCUGAUGUUUUUUAUCUGAAAGUUUUUCCAUAAUUGUUGGAUAAACUCAGUAAAUCUUUAACUGGAAAAACUGCAAUAAAUGAGACAAACAAGAAAAUUUCUGUUUUUAUUUUAGUUCAUUAAACAAACUUUAACUCUAUAUAAAAAUUAAUUUCCCACAGUUUUGAUCUGAGGUUUAAAUAUCCAGAAAUGUUUCUAUUUAAACCGUUUUUCCUCUAUAAGUUCAGUUUAUUUAAUAAAACUUUUGUUUCUGUUUUCUCAGUUUUCCUCUGCAGACAAAUCGUCUCGUUUUCUCCUGAUUUUAUUAAAACCUGAGUAAAAACAUCCUGGUGGUUUUCAGCCCAGGUCUCUGCUCAGGACAGGAACGUUUCUGAAGUCAUAACUUCUCUUAUCGUCUCUUCUGGCUGUUUUUAAACAAACAUGAACAUUUCUCAGGAUUUUCUGGUUGCUUUCUGACCAGACUUGUUGGUCCAGACGUAAACAAUCCGUCUCUGUGGGAAAGACGUUUCUUCCUCCUCCUCCUCCUCCUCCUCGCUGAAACCUUCUGGCUCAGAAGCGGCGAAGGCGUUUUUAUGUGACAUGAUUAAUAUUUUCCCAGCAGCCAUAACUCAUCAUGAGCUGCUCUGGAAAUAUUUCCUUUGUGUUCCUGCGUCCGCCUGCAGCUGAAAUAUGACUUUCAUUAGUCAGGAGGAAUGUCGGGUUCUUCUUCAUGUGGAGUAAUGAGACGCUCCGUCUGCUUUGCUCCCUGUGAGAAACGAGGACAGGAAGUGAUGUCAUGCUGAAGGAUUUGGUUGGUUGUGAGGCGUUUCCUGUUAGCUGUCACUCAAACAGUUUCAGUUUCUGCUCCUCUACCAUCAGUUCCAGCGGCUGUGAUGCGUUCACUGACCCUCUGCUCUCAUCGUCAGCGUUUCCUCUGUUUAGUCCAGUUUUACCGUCUGCGGCUGAAUUACGACGCAUGUCGGAGAAACGCGACGUUCAGACUGCAGACGUUUGGAAAUGAUCGGAUUUAUGUAUUUAUUGGAGGAAAAACAGAUCAGAAUCAGAAUCCAGUUGAUCAAACUGCCGAGAAAAAUUAAAUGUUUGUCAACAAACGUUUAUUUGAUCUAAUUAUGGAUGAAAAAUCACAAAGCGGAUCACAGUUUGGCUGAUUUAAUCAUUUUUGUUUAGAAUGUUUUCACUGAGAAGGUUUGUUUUAAUAUUUAAUAUUUUCUGGACCUCUGAUAGUUUUAUUAGUUUAUUUCUAGUUUUAUUCAUAUUGUCCAGCUGCUCAGAGCCUCUCAACCAUUUUCUCUUUAUUUUUAGGACUAACUGGUCAUAUUUACAUUAUUUCAUGUCUCUGUGUUUUUAUGCAGUUUUGUCUUCCUGGUGUCAUUUAGUUUAUUUUCCUCUAGUUAUGAUUAUUGUUGCUGUUUACAGGAUUUUAAACCUCUGAUGGUUUUUAUGUCACAUCAGAAAACGAAACUAAAUCAUUUAUCGA